rnacentral:rRNA from 1 species
UACGUAGGGGGCGAGCGUUGUCCGGAUUUAUUGGGCGUAAAGAGCGUGUAGGCGGCCAAACAGGUCCGUUGUGAAAACUGGAGGCUCAACCUCCAGACGUCGACGGAAACCGUGUGGCUAGAGUCCGGAAGAGGAGAGUGGAAUUCCUGGUGUAGCGGUGAAAUGCGCAGAUAUCAGGAAGAACACCAAUGGCGAAGGCAGCUCUCUGGGACGGUACUGACGCUGAGACGCGAAAGCGUGGGGAGCGAACAGG